AUACGGAGGAUCCGAGCGUUAUCCGGAUUUAUUGGGUUUAAAAGGAGCGUAGGUGGAUUGUUAAGUCAGUUGUGAAAGUUUGCGGCUCAACCGUAAAAUUGCAGUUGAAACUGGGAGUCUUGAGUACAGUAGAGGUGGGCGGAAUUCGUGGUGUAGCGGUGAAAUGCUUAGAUAUCACGAAGAACUCCGAUUGCGAAGGCAGCUCACUAGACUGUUACUGACACUGAUGCUCGAAAGUGUGGGUAUCAAACAGGAUUAGAUACCCUGGUAGUCCACACAGUAAACGAUGAAUACUCGCUGUUUGCGAUAUACAGUAAGCGGCCAAGCGAAAGCAUUAAGUAUUCCACCUGGGGAGUACGCCGGCAACGGUGAAACUCAAAGGAAUUGACGGGG
rnacentral:rRNA from 1 species